rnacentral:rRNA from 1 species
GACGAACCGUGCGAACGUUGUUCGGAAUCACUGGGCUUAAAGGGCGCGUAGGCGGGUUGCCAAGUUUGGGGUGAAAUCCUUCAGCUUAACUGGAGAAUGGCCUCAAAUACUGGUGAUCUCGAGGAAGAUAGGGGCAUGCGGAACUAGGGGUGGAGCGGUGAAAUGCGUUGAUAUCCUUAGGAACUCCGGUGGCGAAGGCGGCAUGCUGGAUCUUUUCUGACGCUGAGGCGCGAAAGCCAGGGGAGCAAACGGG